AUUGAACGCUGGCGGCAGGCCUAACACAUGCAAGUCGAACGAGUGGCGGACGGGCGGGUAAUGGCUGGGAAACUGCCUGAUGGAGGGAGAUGACUACUAGAAAAGUUAGCUAAUACUGCAUACCACCAGAUCUGCCCAUAUGGGAUUAGCUUGUUGGUGAGGUAAAGGCUCACCAAGGCGACGAUCCCUAGCUGGGCUGAGAGGCUGACCGGCCACACUAGAACGGAGACACGGUCCAGACUCCUACGGGAGGAAGCAGUGGGGAAUAUUUCACAAUGGGCGCAAGUCUGAUCCAGCAACGCCGCGUGAGUGAAGAAGGCCUUCGGAUUGUAAAGUGCUUUGGGCGGGGACGCGUUACCCGCCGAGAAAGCAACGGCUAACUCCGUGCCAGCAGCCGCGGUAAUAC
rnacentral:rRNA from 1 species